rnacentral:rRNA from 1 species
AUUGAACGCUGGCGGCAGGCCUAACACAUGCAAGUCGAACGAGUGGCGGACGGGUGAGUAAUGUCUGGGAAACUGCCCGAUGGAGGGGGAGAACUCCUGGAAACGGUAGCUAAUACCGCAUACCCUCUGAUGUGCCCACAGAGGAUUAGCUAUGAGGUGGGGUAACGGCUCACCUAGCAGACGAUCCCUAGCUGGUAUGAGAGGAUGACCAGCCACACUGAAACUGAGACACGGUCCAGACUCCUACGUGAGGCAGCAGUGGGGAAUAUUGCACAAUGGGCGCAAGCCUGAUGCAGCCAUGCCGCUUGUAUGAAGAAGGCCUUCGGGUUGUAAAGUACUUUCAGCGAGGAGGCGUUACUCGCAGAAGAAGCACCGGCUAACUCCGUGCCAGCAGCCGCGGUAAUUC